AUUCUGUACUCUACUUUCGUUUUACAACUUGUCUUAUUUCCUUGAGUUUUUGUUUCGAAUGGUAAUCAAUAAAGGAAAUUAACUAAAAUCGUGUCGAAGAAUGGAAAACCUCGUCAGAGCUGUGUUCAGCAAUGGAAGAUGGGAAAAUCCUAAAGAGUUUGACACAUGGAAAAUUCCUGGAAAAUUAGAGUUCUUAAAGAUGAGGCUAGUAGACAAAGACCACAGUGACAUUCCUUCAGAUCCAAAGAAACUGGAUGAAACUUUGCCAGUGGUACCGGUGAAUUUCGAAAAGCUGGAAAACCCUGACCCCAAGAGUAUACAGAUUCUCUGGAUCGGCCAUGCCACUGUGUUUGUACAAAUGGAGGGAGUCAACAUUCUGUGCGACCCUUUAUUUAGUGAACGUUGCAGCCCUACAUUCAAAGUGGGUGGCGUGGAACUACUGAAGCACUUUGGAUACAAGCGAUACCGACCAGUCCCCUGUAAAAUCAGAGAUCUCCCGCGUGUAGAUGUGGUACUGAUCAGUCACGACCAUUACGAUCAUCUAGACACCGAAUCCAUCAUGGAAGUGAAGGAGAAAUUUCCCAAGGCGAAAUAUUACGUCCCUAUGGGUUUGAAGGAGUGGUUCACCAGCUGUGGGUGUGUGGAGGCUAACAUCGAGGAGAGACAGUGGUGGGAGGAGAUUCAGCACCCCCUGCCCGGACAGAAGAACCAGAAUCUUACCUUUGCUUGUACCCCCGCUCAGCACUGGUGUACGAGGAACGGAAUGUUAGACCAGAAUAAGAGACUGUGGUGCAGCUGGGCUGUGAAAGGACCAACCCAUUCAUUCUAUUUUGGUGGAGAUACAGGGUAUAACAAAAUUGCCUUCCAGCAGAUUGGAAAGAAAUAUGGACCCUUCUCACUCAGUGCUUUGCCGAUUGGAGCUUAUGAACCAAGGUGGUUUAUGCAUCCUCAGCAUGUCAGUCCAGAGGAAUCUGUAGAGAUCCAUAAAGAAAUCAGAUCAAAGUUUACCUUAGGCGUUCACUGGGGUACUUUCAAACAGAUGGGGUGCUUUGAGUACUAUUUGGAGCCUCCAGAACUUGUGAAAAAACAUCUUGAAAAAUUAAAUCUACCGGCCAGGAGUUUCCGAACCAUUAAUCAUGGAGAGGUGUGGACCAUCUCCACAGAGGAGGUCAAUUCCUAAACCAUUUCGUGUUCGCCAUGUUCAUAACAGAAAAUUAGGAAGUUUGAAUUUUUUUUAACCUUUUUUUUUUUUUAAAUUUAUUUAGCUUCUUGCAAAUUUGUUAUACUUCUUACAGAAAAUUUAAAAUGUCAGUUGUAUUUUUGUACUAGCAUUUAAUGAAUUGUUUUCAGAUUGAUAUGCAUGCACAUUGUAAUUAAUUUAGAUAUUUUGGUUAUUAUUACAUGUACUUACAAUGCUGUAGUUAGAAAGGAUAAAUUAGCAAUGUAAGUUUUUUUUUUCUGGAAAAUAUUAUGUAAAUCCUGGCACUACAAAAAAAAGUUUAUGAACUUGAUUUAAAAAAGAAUUGAUUUUGAAUAUAUUACUUUGUUAUAUUUAAUCACUAAGAUUCUAUCACUUGAUAUUAAUAUCUGACUCUAAACACUGUCAAAUAGUCAUUGGUAUAUUUAAAUGAAAUUAUUAAUCAAACUUUGGUGCAGGUUGUUGUUUAAUAAGGAUCGUGACAUAUAUAUGACCUGGCAUGCUUUCCUUCGAAAUUUUCUGUACAGAAACUAUACUAUACAGAGCACUUUAAUUUGAUAAGUGUUUCAUAUGCAAAUGAAAUAAAACUGACAGUGUACUCAUGUGUAUCAAAGAUUUGGCAAGAUACUCAAUAUCUUAAUAAUUUAUUAAUGUGUAAAAAAAUUUUUUGACUAAUACAUAUAGUCCAUGCAGUUAAAAAAAAAUAAUAUUGAUAUUCAAAUUUACAAUGUUGUAAGCACCACUAAAAAAUCUUAAUUUAUAAUUAUAGUCUAGAACAGUUGAAGACUGUAUGAUCAUGUGUUUCUGGUGAUACAACUGGACUCCAGCCAACUAUAGGUUGUAGGAUAUUUCUGACAGUGCAUCAAGUUGAGUCAUGAAAUUUAUGGUUUCUGUCAUUUUAUUUAGAAUAAAAUAUCUGAUGAAAUUAUAUAUAUGUGUGUGAAUGACUUUUUACAUUAAAUAUUAUUUCAAUUUUUUUUUUAAUUCAAAUGAUAACCUUUCGUAAAAUCUUUUGUUUUUUUUUCACAUGUAUAAUAAUCAUGUUUAAAUUUGCAAAAUUAGAUAAUAUGUUUACCAUUAGACAUGUACUUAUGUGUGAUGCAUUCUGUAAUUGAGUAGCAUUGUAGUGAUCAGAAUAUAAUAGACAGUAUAAAGACAAGGAGUUUAAUAAGUAACAAUGCAUCAAAUGAAAUGAGUGCAAUAUUUUUUUUGUUUUGUGCCUGAGAACUCAAAGUUUAAAAUCUAGGGUGUUAUAUGAUUAGAUUAAAACAGUUAUAGAUAGGUGUUUUCUGAUUUCAUUACAGUAACUGUUUAGAAUAUGCUUUUAUAUGACUAUAUCAUUUUUUUUUAGUUUUGUAACUUUUGUUUGUUAAAAAAACAGAGAAAACAAUAGUUGGUGUGUAAUUUACCUGUAAGAACUGAUUAUUCCUUGUAUUGUUUUUUUUUUAUACCAAUUCAUUUGUUACAUAUUGUUAUUUGCCUCAGUAAAUUUUGCUAAUAUUAAUGCAUUAAAAUUAUUUUGCUACC
rnacentral:misc_RNA from 1 species